rnacentral:rRNA from 1 species
GAUGAACGCUGGCGGCGUGCCUAAUACAUGCAAGUCGAGCGAACGGACGAGAAGCUUGCUUCUCUGAUGUUAGCGGCGGACGGGUGAGUAACACGUGGAUAACCUACCUAUAAGACUGGGAUAACUUCGGGAAACCGGAGCUAAUACCGGAUGAUAUUUUGAACCGCAUGGUUCAAAAGUGAAAGACGGUCUUGCUGUCACUUAUAGAUGGAUCCGCGCUGCAUUAGCUAGUUGGUAAGGUAACGGCUUACCAAGGAAACGAUGCGUAGCCGACCUGAGAGGGUGAUCGGCCACACUGGAACUGAGACACGGUCCAGACUCCUACGGGAGGCAGCAGUAGGGAAUCUUCCGCAAUGGGCGAAAGCCUGACGGAGCAACGCCGCGUGAGUGAUGAAGGUCUUCGGAUCGUAAAACUCUGUUAUUAGGGAAGAACAUAUGUGUAAGUAACUGUGCACAUCUUGACGGUACCUAAUCAGAAAGCCACAGCUAACUACGUG